GACGAACCGCGCGAACGUUAUUCGGAAUCACUGGGCUUAAAGCGCGUGUAGGCGGGCCGGCACGUCGGCGUUGAAAUGUCCCGGCUCAACCGGGGCCCUGGCGCCGAUACGACCGGCCUGGAGGGGGGUAGGGGGACCUGGAACUUCCGGUGGAGCGGUGAAAUGCGUUGAGAUCGGAAGGAACGCCCGUGGCGAAAGCGAGGUCCUGGGCCCUUACUGACGCUGAGACGCGAAAGCCAGGGGAGCGAACGGG
rnacentral:rRNA from 1 species